rnacentral:rRNA from 1 species
CUCCGAACUGCCAGGCUUGAGUGCGGGAGAGGAUAGUGGAAUUCCUGGUGUAGCGGUGGAAUGCGUAAAUAUCAGGAGGAACACCUGUGGCGAAGGCUGCUAUCUGGAACGCAACUGACGCUAAGGCGCGAAAGCUAGGGGAGCAAACGGGAUUAGAUACCCCGGUAGUCCUAGCCGUAAACGAUGGACACUAGGUGUUGGAGGCAUCGACCCCUUCAGUGCUGUUCUGUUAACGCGUUAAGUGUCCCGCCUGGGGAGUACGGUCGCAAGGCUAAAACUCAAAGGAAUUGACGGGGGCCCGCACAAGCGGUGGAGCAUGUUGGUUAAUUGGAGGAUACGCCAAGAACCUUACCAGGGCUUGACAUGUUUCUGAUCGCCUGGGAAACCAGGUUUUCCACUUCGGUGGACAGAAUCACAGGUGGUGCAUGGUUGUCGACAGCUCGUGUCGUGAGAUGUUGGGUUAAGUCCCGCAACGAGCGCAACCCUCACCGAAUGUUGCCAGCGGAUAAUGCCGGGGACUCUUUCGGGACUGCCUGAGCAAUCAGGAGGAAGGGGGGGACGACGUCAAAUCGGCAUGCCCCUUAUGUCCUGGGCUGCAAACGUGCUACAAU